rnacentral:rRNA from 1 species
GACGAACGCUGGCGGCGUGCUUAACACAUGCAAGUCGAACGGAAAGGCCCUGCUUUUUUGUGGUUCUCGAGUGGCGAACGGGUGAGUAACACGUGAGUAACCUGCCCUUGACUUUGGGAUAACUUCUGGAAACUGGGGCUACUACCUGCUAGUAACUCCUGCUGCAUGGUGGGGGUUGGAAAGUUUCGGCGGUUGGGGAUGGACUCGCGGCUUAUCAGCUUGUUUGUGGGGUUUUGGCUUACCAAGGCUUUGGCGGGUAGCCGGCCUGGGAGGGUGACCGGCCACAUUGGGACUGGGAUACGGCCCAGACUCCUACGGGAGGCAGCAGUGGGGAAUAUUGCACAAUGGGCGGAAGCCUGAUGCAGCAACGCCGCGGGCGGGAUGACGGCCUUCGGGUUGUAAACCGCUUUCGGCUGUGACGAAGCGUGAGUGACGGUAAUGGGUAAAGAAGCACCGGCUAACUACGUG